UAUCGAUCCUCUACUGCCGCCGCCCUUCCCCUGUCGAGGUGAUUUUCCUUGCGCCGUCUCUCCUUCCGCCGCCGCCUCGGAUUCCCCUCCCUGGAACCAUCUCUGCUCCUAGGGUUGCAGCCACUACCGCCGGUCUUCUCCAUCCAAGGGACCUAUUGGCUGAAGCUUUAGAAAUUUGGAGGAGGUUCUGAACUGCUACCUUGUGUGGUGAGCUGUGCUGUGCGUGGGUUGUUGCUGUGCACUGGCAGCAGGGCAAGUCCAGAGAAAGCAAGGAGAGCCAGCAGGAAAAAAAAAAAGGAAGAAGAGGGGGAAGGUACCAAAUGAUUGCCAUAUGCAUGGGAGUGGGAGUAGCAUCUUCACGAGAGCACAUACACUUAUGAAUUACAUAUGCCUAGUCUAUUACAUUUACUCCUUGAAAUUGUAAACUAGUUAACUUCGGUUGCUACAUGUCGUGGACGGGUUGAUUUUCUUUAUUCGUUGGGUUGGGCUGUGAUGCCUAUUUAAUGACUUCCAUGAUAUUUCUAUUUAUCUUGAUAUAUUGCCUGUUUUGGAACGUCCUAUUCAUUGGGGAGACUCUGCCAAAAUUUUGUAAAAUUCCAAACUGGUUUACUUCUGAUUGGUAGCCUCUAGGUUUGGAAUAAAUCUGGGGUGUUACAUCUAUAUGAUGAACACAAUAUAUCAAAGCUAUGGAUUUAUCUCCGGAUGAAGCUUUUUUAUGUCAUACUUACUCUGAUGGGACAUUCACUCGCAAUUUCUUUUCAUCUUUAGAAUGGCAUACUGUGUCAAGAGUGUUCGAAUAGUUGCAUUGUAUUUAUUGAUGAUUCUUUUGGUGGUCCGUAGUCAUACCUAUGCUGGAGUGGUAACUACUCUAUUAUGAUCACUGUCACGUUUUCUUUUAAUAUUUGUGGUUUCCCCCCAUUGUGAUUUGUGCUGGAUGGCUGCCCUACAUGAUGAUGAUAUUAUGAAAAGCUAUGGUUAAUUUCCAGAUGAGGCUUUUAUUGUCAUAGUUACUCUCAUAGUCUGCCAUAUCGAUAUUUUUUUAACCUACUUUUGUACAAAUCAGAUAGUCAAUCAGGUGUCUUCUCAGAUGAUUUACUCCAAGCUUUAUAAUUUGCCAUCUGUGAUUUUAAGUGUGAUGUGGCACUCUCUAAUCACGAAAACUGUGAUGUCGGCAUUGAGGGGCACGACACAGAGAAAAAGAGUCAGAGAAUAAGAGAACAGAAAGGGAAGAACUGGAAGGGAUCUGUGAAGGUUAACUCCUGUAGUUUUUUUUUUCAAAUAUCUGAAUUGUAUCCUAUUUUCUAUGUUGGUUCGAUGGAGAAGCUCAAGCCCUUCCUACAGCUGGUGCUUCCUAUAUGAGGCAGAAUGUUGAAACAAGGUGAGAAUUCUGCUUAAUUUGUUCUUGUACGUGCCAUGUCUUUAUGAUGAUAAAAGAAUGGUAUUCAUUGUGCUCUAUCAAAUUUUUUGUGAAAAAAAUAAUAUUGUAGAAUAUGUAGGUUGUCUGAGAUUGAAGUGAGCCAGAAAUAUAAAUUUGGCACUUUUGUUUUAGGUUCAUUAGAGUAUACUUCGUAGUCAUAUGAACAUGUCUCAAAUGUAGCGAAUAAAACAAAUAAACUACCUUCAAAUCUACUUCUUGAAUAUGCUAUCACUAAUGGAUGCACAGGUGAGUUCCAAAUAAAUAGAUAUGAUAUAUUGAGCAGGAGUAGAUUGAUAGAGCCUUGCUUGUUAGAAAAUUAUAUUCAAUAUUCUCAGCUUGUUACAUAUAAUUUAAUUCUGAAUCAAAUAGGUAGGUUUUUGUUCUCCUUAAUGCAUUGGAUUAGUUUAGUUGUAGAAAGUGAAGGUGUCCGAAAGAUUUUAGCACCAGUAAAUAGUCUUGACAUGCUAUAGAAAAUUGUUCAGGCAUCAGGCAUCAUAGAUGGGACUCCAGUAAGGUAAACUGCCGUUGUAUGCAAGUUACAGAGAUGAGACUGAAACAGUCCCAUUGGACAUUUUGCAGCUUCAAAUAUGCAGGUUCAGCAAAGUUGUGCAGGCAUUAGCCACAGCUUUGGUUGGGCCUUGUGGCAAGGCAAGAGGCAAUGAGGAGCAGAUGGUUCUGAGCUGUUGUGAUGCUGCAGAGCAAGCACGAUUGGAUAUACAUUUGUGGAUGAAGUUUCACUGUCGGAAAUCACUAGAAUGCCGUGUGCCUAAGUUUUUGCCGUGUGCGUUUUGUCGAGCACACGGCAAAGAGCCACUUUGCCGUAUACCACGACGAAAACGCACUGCAAAAAAAAAACACGGCAAAAUCCAUGCUUUACCGUGUGUUGGCACACGACAAAGUUUUUGCCAUGUGUUUUUUUGGCACACGGCAAAGUAAAUAGUUUGCGGUGUGUUAUUUUCGGCACAUGGCAAAGUCAUAAUUUUUUUCUAUUCUCACCUCGAAACUUUUUCUA